rnacentral:rRNA from 1 species
GAUUAAGUUAUUAAGGGCGCACGGUGGAUGCCUUGGCACUAGAAGCCGAAGAAGGACGUUACUAACGACGAUAUGCUUUGGGUAGCUGUAAGUAAGCG